ACGAACUUAGUUUAUGUUAAAAUAAGGGCUUGUCGGGCUUUAGAUGCUAUUAGCAGUUUGUG
rnacentral:tRNA from 1 species